ensembl:lncRNA
GGAGGGAGGGAGGGAGAGAGAGAGAGAGAGGGAGAGAGUGUGUGAGAGAGAGGGGGAGUGUGAGGGAAGGAGAGAGAGAGAAAGGGAGAGACAGGGAGAGAGCGAGAAAGAGGGAGGGAGGAGGGGAGAGAGAGGGAGAGAGAGAGCGAGAGAGAGGGAGAGAGAGGGAAGGAGAGAGAGCGAGAGAGAGGGAGUGAGAGAGCGAGAGAGAGGGAGUGAGAGGGAAGGAGAGAGAGAGAGGGAGGGAGAGAGAGAGUGAGAGAGGGAGUGAGAGAGAAGGAGAGAGAGGGAGUGAGAGGGAAGGAGAGAGAGAGAGAGAGCGAGAGAGAGGGAGGGAGGGAGAGAGAGAGGGGGAGAGAGAGAGCGAGAGAGAGUGAGAGGGAAAUAGAGAGAGAGGAAGGGAGAGAGAGAGAGAGAGAGCGAAGGAGAGGGAAGGAGAGAGAGAGGAAGGGAGAGAGAGAGAGCGAAGGAGAGAGAGAGCGAGAGAGAGAGAGGGAGGGAGGGAGAGAGAGAGAGAGAGCGAAGGAGAGAGAGAGAGAGAGAGGGAGGGAGGGAGAGAGAGAGGGAGCUGAGCUGCGCACAUCCUCUCCUCCAUAAAGAAAGUAAGUCGCGGAUCUCUCCGGCGCCGAGGUCAGGUCGUGGGAAGGGACGGCGGACAUGGUGCGGGGCCGCGGGCGCGGGUUCGGGGGCUGGUUCGCGGGGCGUUUUGCGCGGACGGAAGCCGGAAUGACGGUCCCCGGCGGGGCAGCGCGGCUGCGGCGGAGCUCGGAGGUGCGCUGAGCGGGCGCUGGGUCGCCGCGUCCCGUCCGCAGGGCGCGGAGGAGGUCUGGAUCUCUGACGGACAUGGACACCGCCACUUUCGCCGAGGUGCUGGAACCGGCUUUAUUUCCCGUCUCUGGAUCCAAAUGUCACAUUCCCUGGAAGCUGCCCCGGGCAGGGCGCAUUGGCGCGUGACCGCCGGGCAGGGGGAGCACAGCGCGGCGCGACGCCGCACGCCUCCGAAUCGGCCGAACUCGAGUGGCCAGGCCCAUUAUGCGAAGGUCCCCGCGAUGGUCUGACGCCUCAGCAUGGACGGAGCCAGCCGGUGGGCCGGUGCCCUCUAACCAGACCCACGACGAGGAGCCGCAGGUACCCCAGGGACUGAUCCUCGGGCCCGCCGUCCUCGCACCCUGAACUGCGCCGUCUCCGAGAGGACUUCUCGGUUGUGGGAUUACUGGGAUUUUUUUUUUUUUCUCGUCUCGUUACUGUCGUUUGGGGGAAUUUCUCCGUUUUUUUUUUUCCGGUUUUUUCAUCUUUUUUUUUU